AAGUGGUGGUCGAUUUAUUGAGGUCUAAAACGUUCGUAGCCGGUUCGGUAAAUCUUGGGUAAAUCGGGGGGCUUAACUCCCGACUUCCGAGGAGACUGCCGAACUUGGGACCGGGAGAGGCUAGAGGGUACUUCUGGGGUAGGGGGUAAAAAGUACCUGUAAUCCCUAGAAGGACCACCGGUGGCGAAGGCGUCUAGCUAGAACGGAUCCGACGGUGAGGGACGAAGCCCUGGGUCGCAAACGGGAUUAGAUACCCCGGUAGUCCAGGGUGUAAACGCUGCAGACUUGGUGUUGGAGGCCCUUUGGGGCAUCCAGUGCCGGAGAGAAGUUGUUAAGUCUGCUACUUGGGGAGUACGUCCGCAAGGAUGAAACUUAAAGGAAUUGGCGGGGGAGCACCGACCAACGGGAGGAGCGUGCGGUUUAAUUGGAUUCAACACCGUAAAACUCACCAGGGAAGACUGUUACAUGAAGGCCGGGCUAAAGACUCUGCCAGAUUUUCAGAGUAGUGGUGCAUGG
rnacentral:rRNA from 1 species